UUAAGUUCAGCGGGUAGUCCUACUCGAUUUGAGGUCAAGUUGUCAGAUGUUGUCCGAAGACGGUUUGAAGCACAGAGCUCCCGAUCGGCCACCCUCUAAUGAGGCGCCGGCGAAGACACUUAUCACGCCGUACUAUGUCCAACCGAGAGUUGCACUACUCCAUUUGAGGUGAGCCACAGUAAAGCAGCAACACCCAAGUC
rnacentral:misc_RNA from 1 species